GCACGCCAUGGCCAAAUGUAUCACCAAAUCAAUCAGGUGCUCCGCGGGCCUGCCAUGAAACCAGAGUUCCCUGAAAUUGGCUCCAGGGUGGAAGCUUAAA